rnacentral:rRNA from 1 species
UCAAGUUAUUAAGGGUGCAGGGCGGAUGCCUUGGCACUAGGAGCCGAUGAAGGACGUGAUAAGCUGCGAUAAGCUUCGGGGAGUUGCACGUAAACUUUGAUCCGAAGAUUUCCGAAUGAGGAAACUCACUUAGAGUAAUGUCUAAGUAUCAUUAAGUGAAUACAUAGCUUAAUGAGGGGAACUCAGGGAACUGAAACAUCUAAGUACCUGAAGGAAGAGAAAGAAAUUCGAUUCCGUAAGUAGCGGCGAGCGAACGCGGAUUAGCCCAAACCAAUAAAGUUUUCUUUAUUGGGGUUGCGGACAUAUCAUAACGAAGAGGUAUCGUAAUUGAAGAGGUUUGGAAAGACCCACCACAGAAGGUAAUAGUCCUGUAUGUUAAACGAGAAGACUUCAGAUAUGAUCCAGAGUACCACGGGACACGUGAAACCCUGUGGGAAGCAGGAGGGACCACCCUCCAAGGCUAAAUACUACCUAGUGACCGAUAGCGUAUAGUACCGUGAGGGAAAGGUGAAAAGAACCCCGGGAGGGGAGUGAAAUAGAACCUGAAACCCUGCACUUACAAGCUGUGGAAGCACAUUUCUUGUGUGACCGCGUACUUUUUGUAGAACGGGCCAACGAGUUACGUUAAGUAGCAAGGUUAAGCACUUAAGGUGUGGAGCCGUAGCGAAAGCGAGUUUUAACUGAGCGUUCAGUUACUUGACGUAGACCCGAAACCGGGCGACCUACCCAUGAGCAGGAUGAAGCGAAAGUAAAAUUUCGUGGAGGUCCGAACCCACGAGCGUUGAAAAGCUCGGGGAUGACUUGUGGGUAGCGGUGAAAUUCCAAUCGAGCCCGGAGAUAGCUGGUUCUCCCCGAAAUAGCUUUAGGGCUAGCCUCAAGGUGAGAGAUACGGAGGUAGAGCACUGAAUGUCCUAGGGGGUAUUGCACCUACCGAAGACUAUCAAACUCCGAAUGCCGUCAUCUUAUACUUGGGAGUCAGACUGUGGGUGAUAAGAUUCAUAGUCGAAAGGGCAACAGCCCAGAUCGUCAGCUAAGGUCCCUAAAUGUAAGUUAAGUGGUAAAGGAUGUGGGAUUGCACAGACAACCAGGAUGUUGGCUUAGAAGCAGCCACUCAUUCAAAGAGUGCGUAAUAGCUCACUGGUCGAGUGAUCCUGCGCCGAAGAUUUCCGGGGCUAAAACUUACUACCGAAGCUACGGCAUCAGUAAUGAUGGGUAGGGGAGCUUCCCAUACGGGUUGAAGCAUGACCGUAAGGACAUGUGGACAGUAUGGGAGUGAGAAUGUUGGCAUGAGUAGCGAGAUGUGGGUGAGAAUCCCACAGGCCGUAAACCCAAGGUUUCCAGGGGAAGGUUCGUCCGCCCUGGGUUAGUCGGGACCUAAGCUGAGGCCGAAAGGCGUAGGUGAUGGACAACAGGUUGAUAUUCCUGUACUACCGAUAACCGUUUGAGAGAAGGGAUGACACAGUAGGAUAAGCUAAGCACACUGUUGGUUAUGUGUGCCCAAGCAUUGAGGCAGUCAAAGUAGGCAAAUCCGCUUUGAUAAUGCUGGGAUGUGAUGGGGAGCGAAAUUUAGUAGCGAAGUAGCUGAUUUCACACUGUCAAGAAAAGUCUCUAUCGAGGUUAAAGGUACCCGUACCGCAAACCGACACAGGUGGGUGAGGAGAGUAUCCUAAGGCCAGCGAGAGAACUGUUGUUAAGGAACUCGGCAAAAUGACCCCGUAACUUAGGGAUAAGGGGUGCCACCAUCAGGUGGCCGCAGAGAAUAGGCCCAAGCGACUGUUUACCAAAAACAUAGGUUUCUGCUAAGUCGCAAGACGAUGUAUAGGAGCUGACGCCUGCCCGGUGCUGGAAGGUUAAGGGGAUCUGUUAGAGCAAUCGAAGCAGUGAACUUAAGCCCCAGUAAACGGCGGCCGUAACUAUAACGGUCCUAAGGUAGCGAAAUUCCUUGUCGGGUAAGUUCCGACCCGCACGAAAGGCGUAACGAUUUGGGCACUGUCUCAACAACAGACUCGGUGAAAUUGUAAUUCCGGUGAAGAUGCCGGAUACCUGCGACAGGACGGAAAGACCCCAUGGAGCUUUACUGUAGCUUGACAUUGGGUCUUGGUACUACAUGUACAGGAUAGGUGGGAGGCUUUGAAACCAGGACGCCAGUUUUGGCGGAGCCAUCCUUGGGAUACCACCCUUGUAGUACUGGGACUCUAACCAUAGGCCAUGAAUCUGGUCUUGGGACACUGUCAGGUGGGCAGUUUGACUGGGGCGGUCGCCUCCCAAAAGGUAACGGAGGCGCUCAAAGGUUCUCUCAGUACGGUCGGAAAUCGUACGUAGAGUGUAAAG